rnacentral:lncRNA from 1 species
GAAGAUAUACGCAUUAGAAAUUAAUCUAGUUUCUAUGAGAUUUAAGAAGAGAACUGAAAAAACCAUUGGCUCUAGGAUUGUCUUUAAGAGGAGGAAUACCAGCAACAUUCUACCGGGAGUCUAUGGAAUUCCCGCCACAGAUAAAUGACCUGAGUCAAGACAUAUGGUAUAUAGGUUACACCGCAAGAUCACUGAAUAAGAGAUUAGAAGAACAUAAAAAAAGAUAUAAAUACGUCUGCGAACAUACCAAGCCCUCUAGCGAUGUUGCAGUAAAAUGGAAAGAUGCGAAACUCCUAAUGAGACAGGAAGACCCGAAGAAAGGUAAGAUAGUGGAGGCCAUAACCAUCUGCAAUAGCAGAAACACCACACCGAGAUCCAUUAAUAAGUGAAUUAAUGGAUCUCGGUGUGGUAUCUUCCAAGUAUUGCUGAUGGUUGUGGAUCCCCACAACCAUCAGCAAUACUUGGAAGUCCUGUACACAUAGAACUUGAUUCAAUAUCCCCACUGGACAUCCUACGUC